AUGUCAAGGGGAGCUUGUGUACAGGCUGAGAGGAAGUUGUCAACUUCGACCCGUAACCUGAUUUGGAUAAUGCCAACGUAGGGAAAUAAUUUAUU
rnacentral:ncRNA from 1 species